rnacentral:rRNA from 1 species
AAUUAACGCUGGCAGAGUGCAUAACACAUGCAAGUCGAGCGGUUCUUGACAGCGUAUCGUCAAGAAUAGCGGCAGACGAGUGAGUAACACGUAAGCAACCUGCCCCCGAAAGGCGAAUAACGCCGCGAAAGCGGCGCUAAUACGCCGUACAAUCCCCCGAGGGCAUCCUCGGGGGAUGAGAGGCCCGCAAGGGCCGUUCGGGGAGGGGCUUGCGGCCCAUCAGCUAGUUGGUGAGGUAACGGCCCACCAAGGCUAUGACGGGUACCCGGCCUGAAAGGGCGAACGGGCACGAAGGCACUGAGACACGGGCCUUACUCCUACGGGAGGCAGCAGUGGGGAAUUUUGGACAAUGGGGGAAACCCUGAUCCAGCAACUCUGCGUGAGGGACGAAGUCCUUCGGGAUGUAAACCUCUUUUGCCGGGGACGAAUACCCGCAAGGGUUUGACGGUACUCGGCGAAUAAGCCACGGCUAACUACGUGCCAGCAGCCGCGGUAAGACGUAGGUGGCGAGCGUUAUUCGGAAUUACUAGGCGUAAAGCGAGUGUAGGCGGGCGCUUAAGUCCGUCGUGAAAUCUCCCGGCUCAACUGGGAGGGGUCGAUGGAUACUGGGCGUCUCCAGUCGGGUAGGGGGUGGCGGAAUUCCCGGUGUAGCGGUGGAAUGCGUAAAUAAUCGGGAGAGAACCUAUGGGGAAAGCACUGGCUGGGCCCUGACUGCGCUAAAACUCGAAGCUAGGGGGCAACAGGAUAGAACCCUGGGAGUCCUACCGGAACAUGAGAC